rnacentral:rRNA from 1 species
CAAUAGCGUAUAUUUAAGUUGUUGCAGUUAAAAAGCUCGUAGUUGGAUUUCGGAUGGGACUUGCCGGUCCGUCGUUUCGAUGUGCACUGGCCAGUCCUAUCUUGUUGUCGGGGACUAGCUCCUGGGCUUCACUGUCCGGGACUAGGAGCUGACGAGGUUACUUUGAGUAAAUUAGAGUGUUCAAAGCAAGCCUACGCUCUGAAUACAUUAGCAUGGAAUAACACGAUAGGACUCUGGCUUAUCUUGUUGGUCUGUGAGACCAGAGUAAUGAUUAAGAGGGACAGUCGGGGGCAUUCGUAUUUCAUUGUCAGAGGUGAAAUUCUUGGAUUUAUGAAAGACUAACAUCUGCGAAAGCAUUUGCCAAGGAUGUUUUCAUUGA